rnacentral:rRNA from 1 species
AACGAACGCUGGCGGCAUGCCUAACACAUGCAAGUCGAACGAGACCUUCGGGUCUAGUGGCGCACGGGUGCGUAACGCGUGGGAACCUGCCCUUAGGUUCGGAAUAACUCCCCGAAAGGGGUGCUAAUACCGGAUAAUGUCUUCGGACCAAAGAUUUAUCGCCUUUGGAUGGGCCCGCGUUGGAUUAGCUAGUUGGUAGGGUAAAAGCCUACCAAGGCGACGAUCCAUAGCUGGUCUGAGAGGAUGAUCAGCCACACUGGGACUGAGACACGGCCCAGACUCCUACGGGAGGCAGCAGUGGGGAAUAUUGGACAAUGGGCGAAAGCCUGAUCCAGCAAUGCCGCGUGAGUGAUGAAGGCCUUAGGGUUGUAAAGCUCUUUUACCCGGGAUGAUAAGGACAGUACCGGGAGAAUAAGCUCCGGCUAACUCCGG